rnacentral:rRNA from 1 species
GAACGAACGCUGGCGGCGCGCCUAAUACAUGCAAGUCGAGCGAGAAGGUGUAGCAAUACACUUGUAAAGCGGCGAACGGGUGAGGAAUGCAUGGGUAACCUACCCUCGAGUGGGGAAUAACUAGCCGAAAGGUUAGCUAAUACCGCAUACGUUUCCGGAACUUCGGUUUCGGAAAGAAAGCAAUACCGUGGGUAUUGCGCUCAUGGAUGGGCUCAUGUCCUAUCAGCUUGUUGGUGAGGUAACGGCUCACCAAGGCUUCGACGGGUAGCUGGUCUGAGAGGACGAUCAGCCACACUGGCACUGCGACACGGGCCAGACUCCUACGGGAGGCAGCAGUAAGGAAUAUUGCGCAAUGGACGAAAGUCUGACGCAGCGACGCCGCGUGGGGGAUGAAGGUCUUCGGAUUGUAAACCCCUUUCGGGAGGGAAGAUGGAGUGGGUAACCACUUGGACGGUACCUCCAGAAGCAGCCACGGCUAACUUCGUG